rnacentral:rRNA from 1 species
UACGAAGGGGGCUAGCGUUGUUCGGAAUCACUGGGCGUAAAGGGCGCGUAGGCGGGCUCUUAAGUCGAGGGUGAAAUCCUGUGGCUCAACCACAGAACUGCCCUCGAUACUGGGAGUCUCGAGUUCGAGAGAGGUUGGUGGAACUGCGGGUGUAGAGGUGAAAUUCGCAGAUAUUCGCAAGAACACCAGUGGCGAAGGCGGCCAACUGGCUCGAUACUGACGCUGAGGCGCGAAAGCGUGGGGAU